rnacentral:rRNA from 1 species
UUGCUCUUCAACGAGGAAUGCCUAGUAAGCGCGUGUCAUCAGCAUGCGUUGAUUACGUCCCUGCCCUUUGUACACACCGCCCGUCGCUACUACCGAUUGAAUGGCUCAGUGAGGCCUUCGGACUGGCUUGGGGAGGUUGGCAACGACCACCCUGAGCCGGAAAGUUCGUCAAACUCGGUCAUUUAGAGGAAGUAAAAGUCGUAACAAGGUUUCCGUAGGUGAACCUGCGGAAGGAUCAUUACCUUUCAAUGCAGCAGAAUGGGGAUGGUUGAGUUUCUCGCCUCUCUGUUCUGCCUGUAUUCUACCCUUGUUUGUCAUAUACUAUUAUUUCCUCGGCAGGCUUGCUUGCCGAGUGAAACCAAUUAUAACCUAUUUAAUUUUCAAUCAGCGUCUGAACAAAAUUAAUAAUUACAACUUUCAACAACGGAUCUCUUGGUUCUGGCAUCGAUGAAGAACGCAGCGAAAUGCGAUAAGUAGUGUGAAUUGCAGAAUUCAGUGAAUCAUCGAAUCUUUGAACGCACAUUGCGCCCCUUGGUAUUCCAUGGGGCAUGCCUGUUCGAGCGUCAUUUGUACCUUCAAGCUUUGCUUGGUGUUGGGUGUUUGUCCUGAGGGACUCGCCUUAAAGUAAUUGGCAGCCAGUGUUUGGUUUUGAAGCGCAGCACAAGUCGCGAUUCAAAGCUAUACGCCCGCUUCCACAAGCCUUUUUCACUUUUGACCUCGGAUCAGGUAGGGAUACCCGCUGAACUUAAGCAUAUCAAUAAGCGGAGGA